rnacentral:sRNA from 1 species
ACCACUGAGCUAAAUCCCCAGCCCCCUGUGAUGACCUCUUAAACUGGGAAAUAAGAAGGUGUCUUUGCUUCUUUGCAAUAGUCUCAGGGUCUCCGUCUGUCUACCUGUGGUAAUAACUGAGUGAUGACAUCACCAAGGAUUUUGCAUUCUUAAGACUGCAGGUAUUUUUCCAGACUGGGCUUUGCAGUAAACCUGCCUCAGGGCCUUACUGUAACACCCUUCACAGAUGAGCACCCUGAGGCCUAGGCAGGUCAAAGGCUACGACUCAAAAACAGGGCUCUGGCUCGCCCCUCUAUACUUAUGCCAGUCGCGUGGGGGAGUGUAGUUCUCAAAGCCAACCCUGGUUUGUGGCCUGGAGCUGGGGCACCCAAGCCACACACACCCUCUGGGCCCUGGCUGGGCCAGAUGUGUCCGCCAGAGGCCACCAGGGGGCGCUGCAAUGCCGGCGACUCCCGGGUGAGGUCCACGCCUGUUCCACGGACCCAGCCUCAGCUCCUGGAGCCGGCAACUUGAGGCGGACAGGGCAGAAGCUGGGAGAUCGCUUGGCCCCGGGCAGCGCAGACCUCAGCCGCAGCUCAAGCCCUGGUCCAGGCAGGCUUCUCGACGCUCGGGGAGUCGGGGUACUGAGCCUCGGAGUCAGGGGUGCUGCGCCCCGGGCAGACCUCCUUCCUCUUUUCCAGUCAUAGGCUCCGUAUGUGAACUCGUUUGCAUCUCUGCGGGCUUUAAAUGUUGCACAACUCCACGGAAGAAGAAACUCUGCCACAAGGCCCGUUCCUAUUGCAAAGCCCCAUGUCUUUGAGAUGUCUGUUUCUACUCCACCACUCUCGGCUGAGGCCAUGUGAAAGCUUAUGUGAGCACCUUGCAUCACAGGAUAAACACGAGGCUGCUCUCUGUCCCUUCAGGACGAAGGAGCGGUGGGGAAGUCACAGGACACUCACCUGAGGAUCCAUCCACUCCCACCACCCAGGUCCAGCAGCAGUGAGUGACCAGAAGCAGGCCAUUGCCAGGUAUCCUUGAAGGGCAGGGAGUCUGUCCAGCCACGCCCAGGAAAGCACGCCCGUCCUGGAGCAUGUUCGGGUGUGGCCUUGGAAGAUAUGCAACUGAGAGCAGAGGUCAGAACAGAACCAGAUCAGAAGGGCUUUGCUUGGCCAGGCCGUUUGGCUCUGCAGCACACCUGGAUCCCAUUCCUAGACUGUCCGGCUCUGAUUGGUGCCCACUGCAGGCUCCGCCUCCAGCUCUUUGGAUGAGAAAAUAUGGACGCCUGUGUUUUAAGAACUGAAACUGUCCUGGGACCUCGGCCCACUGGAGUUUGCUGCCACAUUUAAGGUGGUUCCUCCCAGCUCCGUUAAUUCCAUCUAGAGAGUACCUCACCCACACGGACAGAACCCCAGCAGGAGCUCCUGCAGGGAGAGAGAAGGCACACUGGUGAGGAAGCUUGCUUCUUUCUCAGCUGUAGCUGGGGCCAAGCCUACAGCCUCUUGUCAGUAAGUACACCCAGGGCUGCAGAGAAAGGCCCCAUCAUUGGGAAAGAGAAGGGGCUUUCAAGUCUUUCACUUUCCUGUCUGUCAUUGUUCUUAAAGUUUCAGGGUAAAACUAGGGCCUAAUGCAGCCACGAAACACCCGAGCUGUUCAAGGCAGGCCUUGUGCAAAACGCUGCAGGAUUUCGGACAGGAAGUUGUGUGGCUGUGUGGGCGUGAGGACCAGCUUCCUCCCUCUCUGACACUUUCUACGCUUUGGGGACCUUGCUCAGCAGUCUCCCCUCCCCCAAGCCCAGCAGACCCUCCUGAGGCCUCACACAGCCUCUGCCCCAGCAAGAGUGAAAACAGCAGGGUGAAUCCCAUCCUCUCUCAUCCCUGUCCCUCAUCUCCCCUAGACACGUGACCAUUUCUGACACCACACAGGACUUUCACUUCUUCAGAGUAGAAGCACUUGUAGAGUGUCUGGUUUUCGGAAUACUUGUCCUACCCUGCUUUCUCAGAGGAGGCUUGAUCUUGUUAUCCUUGUCUGGGUUCCUUGCCUCUGAAAGCAUAGUUUCUAGGUAACAAGCAGGGGCGGUCUGUAUACCCUGUAGCUACGGAGGGAGUCUCAGGAGUUCAGAAGCUAAUUUGAAUAGAGUUAUUGAUAGUGGAUAGAGCAAUUUGCAUACUGGAACUAAGUGGGUGGCUCUAGGAUGUUUAGGAAAUGACCCACAGAGUCUGUAGAUUCUGGGGCUCCAAAUCCAUUUCUCACAGAUGGGCUACCCUUAACUGCAGUCCCUGCCAACAUUCUGCUACAAGAACAUGUCAGAUUCAGAUUCCAGUAGCAGGAGCCUGCCCUGAUCAGCUGCUGGGAAGGCACUGUGGCCCAACUUGAAGAACUCUUGAAUUAGUGCCUCCCUCUCCUGGAACCUGAGAGCCUUGAUCUACAAACUGAAGGGCAGAAGGCAUGACUUUAACGCUUCACGGACUUAAAAUGCUGUAUCCUGUGAUUCUCCCAGCAGACGUAAACCUUGUCAUCUAACAGCAGCCUUCUUCAGCCUCAGAAAGGAACUGUGCAAUUUUAGCCCUUGCAUGUUAAGAGACCAGGAGGAGGGGUGCCUUCCAAGGCAGAGGGGCUUGCAGAGUAGCCAAUAUCAAGCCCUUCGUCCAGGAAGGGCUACAGUCUAUUCUCUUUCUU